GGGCGGGUAGAUCAGCGGCAAGAUCGUUCGCUGCGGCGAAAGGACACAGGUUCGAAUCCUGUCCCGCCCG
rnacentral:tRNA from 1 species